rnacentral:lncRNA from 1 species
GAGAGACCAACACAGUAGACCCACAUGAGAGACCGCAGAAACCCCAAAUAGUAAACCCACAAGAGAGGACUGCAGAACAUCCCAACUGACACCUACACAAAUUAUAAGGCAUACCAUCGUAGAAACCAGGAGAGAACACAGAGAAGGAACACAGAAACAACAGUAAAAAGACCCCUGAGAAGCACUCUACUUCAACUCAGAACCUGAUAAAGAAAACCUCCUAUGACCAGGCAUAGUUCUUCGGUUAGUGUAGAGUAAAGAAGAGCACUACAUCCUAACAACUACCACCAGCGUCGCUGUUGCCGCCGCCGUUAAAACAGAGACAAAACAUCAGCCACCAAGUAUCACAAUUCUCCCAAGGAGAGACACAAUUCAACAUCACUACUGUCACCGGUACUGAGACAAAGACAACUCCAGUCAUCUAGAACAUUGCAAAAACAACCAAACAAAACAAAUAGACAAAUAAAUCUAGAUCCAAACAGAUCUAGACUAUUUGGGGAAGGGAAGGGGAUGAGAAGAGUGGAUAAGAAGAAGGGAAAAUAUGGGAGAAAAAUAUGGGGAGAUGAGGAGAGGAAAGGGAAGAUGGGUGUAGGGGAGGAGGGGCAGUGGGCACUAGGGGUGGGUAUCUAAAACUGAAAUACCGAAACCGUACACUAACCAUACCAUACCAUACCAAUUUCAUACCGUUUCAUUUGGGAUGGGGAGAUAAUCGGUACCAUACUGUACUAUACCAAUAGAGUAUGGUAUGGUAGCGGCAUCAAGUAUUUAGUACCGGUCAAUACCAUAUUGUACCGAAAUAUAAACAUGUUCAACAUUAUGUGGUCCAAGAGAUCGGGUGACCACUGGAUUCAACAUUAUAAACAGGUUCACUCACUCUUGC